UACGUAGGGUGCAAGCGUUGUCCGGAAUUAUUGGGCGUAAAGAGCUCGUAGGCGGUUUGUCGCGUCUGCUGUGAAAACCCGGGGCUCAACCCCCGGGCCUGCAGUCGAUACGGGCAGACUAGAGUGCGGUAGGGGAGACUGGAAUUCCUGGUGUAGCGGUGAAAUGCGCAGAUAUCAGGAGGAACACCGAUGGCGAAGGCAGCUCGCUGGGACGGUACUGACGCUGAGGCGCGAAAGCGUGGGGAGCGAACAGG
rnacentral:rRNA from 1 species